CGGGUGAGUAACACGUGGAUCAUCUACCUUCUAGUGGGGAAUACCGUUGGGAAACCGACGACAAUACCGCAUAAGCUCGAGAGAGGAAAGCAGCAAUGCGCUGGAAGAGGAGUCCGCGGCUGAUUAGCUAGUUGGUGAGGUAACGGCCCACCAAGGCUAUGAUCAGUAGCCGGCCUGAGAGGGCACACGGCCACACUGGCACUGAAACACGGGCCAG
rnacentral:rRNA from 1 species